CCUACGGGGGGGCAGCAGUGGGGAAUAUUGCGCAAUGGGCGAAAGCCUGAUGCAGCGACGCCGCGUGAGGGAUGAAGGUCUUCGGAUCGUAAACCUCUGUCAGCAGGGAAGAACGGUCACUGUGCUAAUCAGCAGUGAAUUGACGGUACCUGCAAAGGAAGCACCGGCUAACUCCGUGCCAGCAGCCGCGGUAAUACGGAGGGUUCGAGCGUUAAUCGGAAUUACUGGGCGUAAAGCGCUCGUAGGCGGUAUGUCAAGUCAAGGGUGAAAUCCCCGCGCUCAACGUGUGAACUGCCUUUGAAACUGGCAAACUGGAGUGUGUGAGAGGAUAGUGGAAUUACAGGUGUAGGAGUGAAAUCCGUAGAUAUCUGGAGGAACAGCAGUGGCGAAGGCGACUAUCUGGCACAUAACUGACGCUGAGGAGCGAAAGCGUGGGUAGCAAACAGGAUUAGAUACCCCAGUAGUC
rnacentral:rRNA from 1 species